rnacentral:rRNA from 1 species
GACGAACGCUGGCGGCGUGCCUAAUACAUGCAAGUCGACCUUACUGGCGAACGGUUUAUUAACACCUGGGUAACCUGCCCAUCAGAAGGCGAUAACCCGUGGAAACAGCUGCUAAUACCCUCUACUGAUUUAUGUACCCGCGGUGCAUUAGCUUGUUGGGGAGGUAACGGCUCACCAAGGCGACGAUGCAUAGCCGACCUGAGAGGGUGAUCGGCCACAUUGGGACUGAGACACGGCCCAAACUCCUACGGGAGGCAGCAGUAGGGAAUCUUCGGCAAUGGACGAAAGUCUGACCGAGCAACGCCGCGUGAGUGAAGAAGGUUUUCGGAUCGUAAAGCUCUGUUGUUAGAGAAGCGGUAUCUAACCAGAAAGCCACGGCUAACUACGUGCCAGCAGCCGCGGUAAUAC